CUACAAUGGCGUAAACAAAGGGAAGCGAAACCGCGAGGUCAAGCAAAUCCCAAAAAUAACGUCCCAGUUCGGACUGUAGUCUGCAACCCGACUACACGAAGCCGGAAUCGCUAGUAAUCGCGAAUCAGAAUGUCGCGGUGAAUACGUUCCCGGGUCUUGUACACACCGCCCGUCACACCAUGGGAGUCGGAAAUGCCCGAAGUCAGUGACCCAACCGCAAGGAGGGAGCUGCCGAAGGCAGGUCCGGUAACUGGGGUGAAGUCGUAACAAGGUAUC
rnacentral:rRNA from 1 species